CCUACGGGUGGCAGCAGUGAGGAAUAUUGGUCAAUGGACGAGAGUCUGAACCAGCCAAGUAGCGUGAAGGAUGACUGCCCUAUGGGUUGUAAACUUCUUCUAUAUGGGAAUAAAACGUUCCACGUGUGGGAUUUUGUAUGUACCAUAUGAAUAAGGAUCGGCUAACUCCGUGCCAGCAGCCGCGGUAAUACGGAGGAUCCGAGCGUUAUCCGGAUUUAUUGGGUUUAAAGGGAGCGUAGGUGGAUUGUUAAGUCAGUUGUGAAAGUUUGCGGCUCAACCGUAAAAUUGCAGUUGAAACUGGCAGUCUUGAGUACAGUAGAGGUGGGCGGAAUUCGUGGUGUAGCGGUGAAAUGCUUAGAUAUCACGAAGAACUCCGAUUGCGAAGGCAGUUCACUGGACUGCAACUGACACUGAGGCUCGAAAGUGUGGGUAUCAAACAGGAUUAGAUACCCUUGUAGUC
rnacentral:rRNA from 1 species